ACUCACUCAAAACAAUACACCAGCAAACACUCGGCGACACACGACAAACAGCAAGUACUAGCAAUCAUCUAGCCGAUUCUUCCCUUGCUGCAGCAUCUGUAGCUUCCUUCUCGCCUUCGUUCACCUUCCGCGGCUGAUUAAUGGCAACCAUGAUGACCAUGAGCUCCUUCGCCGGUGCCGCCGUCCUGCCGCGUGGCUCGGCCGGCCACUUCGGUGCCCAGUCUCUGCCAGCACUGGGCCGACGCGCCCUCAUCGUCAGGGCACAAACCGAAGGCCCGAGUGCACCACCGCCAAACACACCCAAGGUACGUAUCCACAUAAGCAACACAGUGCAGUGUUAGUUAAGCCUCUACAUA
rnacentral:rRNA from 1 species